GCGAGAAUGUAAACCAGUAACCACACUACUUAAGAUGAAGAGCACGGUCAAGCGCAGACAGUCGUUCCAGCUCCUCAUCCUGCUAUGCGACAUAGAAGAUGCGGCGGAGACAACAAGAUUACAUAUCAGCUAUCUGCCAGUAGCUUUGAAAAAGGAAAUGAAGCACAGAAGGAGUACGGCACUCCUUGAAGCAGGUGACAUGAUGGCAAAAGAAAGAUUUGCCUUUUCUGCAAGAGACGUCGACACCGAGGUUUGUCCUUAAGACCCUAGUAGUAGACGAUGAGAUCAGGGAGGAAAAGCCAAACAUUCGCUGAGGUAUACCAUGGAAGCCGUCAUUUGAGCUAAAGAGACAGAG
rnacentral:lncRNA from 1 species